rnacentral:rRNA from 1 species
CCUACGGGUGGCAGCAGUGAGGAAUAUUGGUCAAUGGGCGCGAGCCUGAACCAGCCAAGUCGCGUGAGGGAAGACGGUCCUAUGGAUUGUAAACCUCUUUUGUCGGGGAGCAAAAGACGCCACGCGUGGCGUUCCGAGAGUACCCGAAGAAAAAGCAUCGGCAAACUCCGUGCCAGCAGCCGCGGUAAUACGGAGGAUGCGAGCGUUAUCCGGAUUUAUUGGGUUAAAAGGGUGCGCAGGCGGAGGAUCAAGUCAGCGGUAAAAUUGAGAGGCUCAACCUCUUCGAGCCGUUGAAACUGGUUUGCUUGAGUGAGCGAGAGGUAUGCGGAAUGCGUGGUGUAGCGGUGAAAUGCAUAGAUAUCACGCAGAACUCCGAUUGCGAAGGCAGCAUACCGGCGCUCAACUGACGCUCAUGCACGAAAGUGUGGGGAUCGAACAGGAUUAGAUACCCUGGUAGUC